rnacentral:rRNA from 1 species
GACGAACGCUGGCGGCGUGCUUAACACAUGCAAGUCGAGCGGUAAGGCCCUUCGGGGUACACGAGCGGCGAACGGGUGAGUAACACGUGAGUAAUCUGCCCAUCACUUCGGGAUAACUCCGGGAAACCGGUGCUAAUACCGAAUAUGACCACUUCAGGCAUCUGAUGGUGGUGGAAAGUUCCGGCGGUGAUGGAUGAGCUCGCGGCCUAACAGCUUGUUGGUGGGGUAGUGGCCUACCAAGGCUUCGACGGGUAGCCGGCCUGAGAGGGUGACCGGCCACACUGGGACUGAGACACGGCCCAGACUCCUACGGGAGGCAGCAGUGGGGAAUAUUGGACAAUGGGCGAAAGCCUGAUCCAGCAACGCCGCGUGAGGGAUGACGGCCUUCGGGUUGUAAACCUCUUUCAGCAGGGACGAAGCGCAAGUGACGGUACCUGCAGAAGAAGCACCGGCCAACUACGUG